GGUUGGCCUCUGGUGGGGUGGACCUCGUCCGUCCGAUCGCGAUCCGAUGACCACGAACGGAGGAAGUGGCUAGGUGGCACUACUGACCUGUGUAGAUGGGCUAUGUAGGGGUGAGAGGGAAAUUGCGCGGCGUGGCAACAAGAUUUAAAACACCGAAACACGUCCGACGGUACACCGAAUACGGUGCCGCUACGGUCGACCGUUCGGGUACCAGACGAACUCCGAUCGCGACGAAACUUGACAGGCGGCCUACCCAUAUAUAAAUAAUACCGCACGACAAAUUCCAGCUCAAUCGGAGAAAGUUUUAUACACGCUUUAAAAACAGGGUUACGACGGUGCCGCGGACGCGUGCGUGUGCGGUCGGGCUCAGAAC
rnacentral:lncRNA from 1 species